rnacentral:siRNA from 1 species
ACAUACCUUAACUGACUCUGAUGC